rnacentral:miRNA from 1 species
CUUCGAACCAGACAACAUUC